UAAUCAUUAACAGAAGCAAUGAGCUCUUGAGUGUUUCAUUCCAGAGAGCAAGACCAAAUCGGCUGGAUCACGAGGACAACAGAAGCCUAGACAACUCAUUCUAUCCAAAUAACCACUAAAAACUUGAAGUUUCAGAGUAAAAAGGUUGUGUUACAGAAUACCUAGCAUGUUGACUACUGAGAAUGGACCUAAAAGGCACAUUUACAGCUGGAAACCUCAUUCUGUCGGAGGCACUCAACCUGGUAUCAGUCACCCUGGGAGAUGUAUCAACAGCAAGGCCUGGCAUCUGAGCUCCAGACCCCAGCGCUGGAGAAAUACGGUCCCACUCAUUGCCCACAGGUGGCCCGUUGGCUUCAUAUCGCACAAUUCCCUGCCCCAGUGUGUGACCACUGUGAAAGAGAGGAAAAAGCACCAGGCCGCCAGGCUGAAGCUGACUCAGAAGCUCUGGCAUCUGCCACAGUGAGACUGAUGACCUUAGAGGAGCAAAAUACGUGACCUCAGUGAACAGGGACAAGCAUAGACAGAGGAAUUGUGAGAUGUCUGUGGUGAUGGAUGAGUCUCUGCUGGAGCCCUGGGCCACAGGUCAGAUAGAUGAGAGAGUCCGAGAGCAAGUGAAAAGAAAAAGGGAUCUGAGCGAUGGAGUUGAGACCCCCACAGGCCGGCUGUAUUGCAGCUAAAGGCAAAGAUAGCUGAUGAGAGCUUGAUGAACUUCCUCAGAAAGGCUGGUGCAGUGGUUGGUAUUCACUAUUGAGAUGCAACACAGCUCUCGGGCAAAGACAGAGGGUCAAUUGACAUUCUGAGAAGGAAGUCUAUGAAUCACAGUUGUGUGUGUGGUCAUGUUAGUGUAGCCAAUGUUUGUGCACAGACUGAGGAGAUUGAAUAAGAAACACUGAAGAUCAUUUCAACAAAUGUGUCUCAACAUCUUCAUAUAAAUUUUUUUUUUAUGCUUUCCUGUACAAAACUGUCCACCAGAAUGCUAGGGUGUUUUAUAUGAUUGUCAAAGUGUUGCUCAGCAGUUUCUAAGGUGUUUGGAGGAGUUUUGCAUGAAGCUAUGAGGUUGCUAGGAUGUUCUGGUUGAGUGUUGAGUGACUGCUUGCUGGCCAGAAAGAGCUAAUGCAUUUUCCCCCUCAUUUCACUGCCAGACAGGUGGAAAUCAAAAGUCCUUAGAACACAGGUUUUCUAAUUGCCGUCUGUAGCUGCAGUGGGGUGUUAAAGGGUCCAUAGAAAAUGUAAAAGAAAAAUUAUUUUACAAGAUGUAUUUUUAGACCUGACCAAAUGAAACUUAUGAACCUAAAUAAUAAUUAUUAUUAUUAUUAUUUUAACUGUUUUUUAUUUUUAUUUUUUUUAAAUAACAUGGACAAAUUUGUUUAAUUGAGAAUGCUUCUGCUUGCUUGUCCGCUUCAGGUUUAUACAAAUAUUAGAUAUAUCAAGUUCAAUAUUUUACAGGUACGUUGAUUUGUUUUUUGUCUUUUAAGUGUGAC
rnacentral:lncRNA from 12 species